rnacentral:lncRNA from 1 species
AGAGUGUUUGGGAGAUUGGUUUACAAAUUGAAGGUGUGAGUUUCACCAAAAGUGGAACAAUGAAUGCAUUGGAUAUUUUCUUCAACGAUGAUAAAGGGAAGGUUCUAAGGCAAAAUGUUGUAGGGCUAAAAGCAAGAGCACUAGCAGCUGUGAAACCAGAAAAUGGAAGUUCAACACAAAAUUUCAAAGCUCUAGCAGAUCUAGUUAAACGUCACAAGCUCGCUUGAUUGUUAUUAAUACGUUAUAAUUGCAAUAUGCAACUAUGUAUUAUCAGCUGGAACUUUUUUUUGUUUUUGUAGAUAGGAAUAGUAUUUUACUGUAAAAUACUAUUCUUCGUUUUUACCCCUUCCUAGGAGCUCCCCUCCCUAUCAGAUGAAACUUGCUAAGUUUAUUGUCGGAUAAUGCUCUUGGUUUUAGUAAGAUUAAUGUUGGUCGAAAUUAUAAUUUGGUCCGUAGUAUUUGACAUAUAAAUGAGUAAAUACAUAAUUGCACCCCUGAUCUUGUCCGAAAUUUUCAAAAAGACACCUAAACUUUAACUUCGACCUAUUAUUCCACGAUUCUUCUUUAUUUCGUUGCAAAUACACUAUUUUUCGCUGAAUCUCAAUCACAAUAAAGAGAAUGAAUGCACGCACCAAUCAAGUGCUGCCACGUGUCAAAUAUUUUUAAUUUCAUAUUUUAUUUAUUUUUUUAAUAAGUUUUUUCCUUUUUAUUUAAUUUAUCACCUCCCUUCCUCCACCCCACCCCGCAUACAACAGCUCCCCCCACGCGUCCAGGUCAACAGCUCCCCCCACCCCACCCCAUUCCCUGCGUCCAGUUUCCUCCAUUAAAAUGACACUUAAAACUCCUGUACAAUCUCCAUUUUAAUGGAGCUUUCAACUCCAUUUAGUUAUGGUGAUAAAGAAGAAGUUGGGGAAGAAGACAAUAGUGGAUGAGUGGGGUUGCGGGGGUGGGUAUGAGUGAGUGGAGGGUUAUGAAAUAAUUUUAAAAAAUAAAUAAAUAUUAAUUUAAAAAAAAAUAUAUAAAUUGUAUAUUAAAUUAUUUACACGUGGCAACUUCUAAUUGGUCAAAAAAGUUAAUUUUUGCCUUUUCACGCGCUUGUGGCACGUGUAUACACGCAGAGGGUCAAAAUAAUAUAUUUGCAACGGAAUAAAAAAGGUUCGUUGGGUAAUAGGUCGAAGUUAAAGUUUCGGUGUCUUUUUGAAAAUUUUGGACAACAUCAGGAGUGUAAUUAUAUAUUUACUCUAUAUAAAUUUUAGUUUACAUAGUAUGAUAUGUUUAAGUGACUGACUCCAUGUUUACAUAAAUUCCUAGAUGUUUAUCCCUAGUUACACCUUAUCCCAACAUUUAAUAAAAUUUCAUAAAAUUUCGAAUUUUUGGUUUUCCGAUAGACUUAUUAACAAGAGAUACGUCUUGUUGGAUACAUCAAUUAAAACAACUAUAGCGUGCUAAAAGGAAAAUAACGAAAAUUGAGGAGGAAAUCUCGCUUCAUAACUUUAAAAUUAGUGUCAAAAUCUCCAAAAAAAAAAAAAUUAUAAUUAAUUAUAAUGUUUAUAUUAAAAAAAAAGGGACCUUAUUCAUCUUGUACGUUGAAACAUUCUUCUCCUCUCUUUGAAAUACAAAAGAAUAUUACCCCCUCGUCUUUUAGAAUUUCUUUAAAAUCUUCUAGAAUUUUAGCGUCGCAAGAAUUGUCAAACGUUAACGGAUGUGGUGGAACUUCUUUGCAAUGUAAUGCAUAUCCUGUACUGAGAUACAUAAAAAAUAGUGUAGUUAGUAAUCGACUUGAUUAUUAGUCAUAUUAACUGAGAUAGAUUCAUUUUUUAAAGUUAUUAGGUGGAGAUAAAUAAUUCUAUUCAAUAUUAAAGAAAGAUACAUAAUUAAAAGGGAUAAUACUCACAAAAAUAUGUGAAUUUUGAUCAAAUUUUCAGUUGAGCAUACUGAACUUUGUGGGGGUCCUAUUACCCCCCUAGAUUUUUUUUUCGUAUUUUAAUGGCAUAUAUCUGCCCACUUGGACACAUGUAAAUAUGAGGUUGGCGCGUGUAAUACAUGUGUAAAAACGAUAUUUGGCGCGUAUAUUAUAUCGCCAGCCAUCGAAACUGGGUAUAAAAUUUCGGGGNNNNNNNNNNNNNNNNNNNNNNNNNNNNNNNNNNNNNNNNNNNNNNNNNNNNNNNNNNNNNNNNNNNNNNNNNNNNNNNNNNNNNNNNNNNNNNNNNNNNNNNNNNNNNNNNNNNNNNNNNNNNNNNNNNGGGGGGGGGGGGAGGGGGACAAUUAAAUCCACUUUAAAAAGUCUAGGGGGUAAUAUGACCCCCAUAAAGUUCAAUACACUCAAUUGAAAAUCUGGUUAAAGUUCAGGUAUUUUUGUGAGUGUUAUCCCUAAUUAAAAUUAUGUUUCAUGCAUGAAAUGUUACUUAUGUAUCUCAACAUUAAAAUUUAUUACCGAGAUACAUAUAUUUUUUAAUUUAUUUGACCGAUAUACAGAAUACAGUAACUAGACUGAAGAGAGAUACACAAUGAAAAUUAUGUCUCAUGCCUGAAAAUGAUGUCAUUUAUAUAUCUCAAUAGUAAAAAUUAUAUAUCUGACGAUUUUUUUUAAUUCUAUACAUGUAUAAUACCUUUUGGAGUGUCUCUUUUGAUUUUUUCAACAAUUUUGCAUUUUGAAAGACCAACCUUCCCUUUUAAAGAAGCAGAACUCCGUUUCUUCUUUGAUUUAACACCAUCGAUGAUAAAUCAUUUGUCAAGAAUUUUUUUCGUAAAUUUUAAUGAGAAAACGUUUGAUUUAACAUCAUCAAUGACAACAUCGGGAGCUAAAUUAAUUUCCGUAAUUGAUGAUGUUGGUGGCAUCAACGAUAAAUUAUUUUCUUGGAAAAUGAAGAAAAAAGGUCAAAAAAUUCUCCUCACAAAUUUCAAUAAUAAAUCGUUUGAUUUUAACAACAUCAAUGAUAAAUCAUUUUCUUGACAAAGGAAAAAAGAAAAGCUAAGAAAUUUCUCCAACAAAUUUUAAAUCUAAAGGAGAAAUUGAAGAUGAAAGAAAGAGCAGAAGAAAAAAACGAAUCUUUAUGGGAAAAAGAAGGGUG